UACGUAGGGUGCAAGCGUUGUUCGGAAUCAUUGGGCGUAAAGCGCGUGUAGGCGGUCCGGUAAGUCCGCUGUGAAAGUCGGGGGCUCAACCCUCGGAUGCCGGUGGAUACUGUCGGGCUUGAGUACGGAAGAGGCGAGUGGAAUUCCUGGUGUAGCGGUGAAAUGCGCAGAUAUCAGGAGGAACACCAAUUGCGAAGGCAGCUCGCUGGGACGUUACUGACGCUGAGACGCGAAAGCGUGGGGAGCAAACAGG
rnacentral:rRNA from 1 species